GGGGGUGUAGCUCAGUGGUAGAGCGCGUGCUUGCAUGUACGAGGUCCCUGGUUCAAUCCCUGGCACCUCCA
rnacentral:tRNA from 1 species